rnacentral:tRNA from 1 species
GGGUUUGUGGUUCAGUGGUAGAGUACUCACCUGGCAUGUGUGAGGCAUUGAGUUCAAUCCUCAGCACCA